rnacentral:rRNA from 1 species
AUUGAACGCUGGCGGCAGGCCUAACACAUGCAAGUCGAACGGUAACAGGAAGCAGCUUGCUGCUUUGCUGACGAGUGGCGGACGGGUGAGUAAUGUCUGGGAAACUGCCCGAUGGAGGGGGAUAACUACUGGAAACGGUAGCUAAUACCGCAUAACGUCGCAAGACCAAAGAGGGGGACCUUAGGGCCUCUUGCCAUCGGAUGUGCCCAGAUGGGAUUAGCUAGUAGGUGGGGUAAUGGCUCACCUAGGCGACGAUCCCUAGCUGGUCUGAGAGGAUGACCAGCCACACUGGAACUGAGACACGGUCCAGACUCCUACGGGAGGCAGCAGUGGGGAAUAUUGCACAAUGGGCGCAAGCCUGAUGCAGCCAUGCCGCGUGUAUGAAGAAGGCCUUCGGGUUGUAAAGUACUUUCAGCGGGGAGGAAGGGAGUAAAGUUAAUACCUUUGCUCAUUGACGUUACCCGCAGAAGAAGCACCGGCUAACUCCGUG